UGAGGAAGUAAAAGUCGUAACAAGGUUUCCGUAGGUGAACCUGCGGAAGGAUCAUUAUCGUGGGGAUUCGUCCCUAUCGAGAUAGCACCCUUUGUCUAUGAGUACCUUCUGUUUCCUCGGCGGGCUUGCCCGCCAACGGGGACCACAAAAACCCUUUGUAAUAGCAGUUACUUCUGAUAACAAACAAAUAUUAAAACUUUCAACAACGGAUCUCUUGGUUCUGGCAUCGAUGAAGAACGCAGCGAAAUGCGAUAAGUAGUGUGAAUUGCAGAAUUCAGUGAAUCAUCGAAUCUUUGAACGCACAUUGCGCCCUUCGGUAUUCCGUAGGGCAUGCCUGUUCGAGCGUCAUUUAAACCUUCAAGCUCUGCUUGGUGUUGGGUGUUUGUCCCGCCUCUGUGCGUGGACUCGCCUCAAAAGUAUUGGCAGCCGAUAGAUCGGCUUCGUGCGCAGCACAAACGCGCGUCGAGGUCCCUCUAUUGAUUUCCAGAAGACCCUUUUUUAUUUUGACCUCGGAUCAGGUAGGGAUACCCGCUGAACUUAAGCAU
rnacentral:rRNA from 1 species